GUCUCAGGGUCCCUGGGUAGGUUGUGGAAGAUGUCUAGUAACUACCAUCCCUCCCUUUCGUUCAAUAUAAAAGAGGAGGAACUAAGAAGGGGUGAUGUUGAGGCCGGAGAGCAAUUUGGACUAUUUCCUGUUGUCCGGGGUUGUCGCAUGUUCGGGCAUUGCUGAUCCUCACCAUCAGGGCACACUCCGUAACCAUGAGACUCAGGCUUUGUGGCUAGCAGCCCGUAGUCCCGUAACAGUAAAUUAGUUGUUUGAUUAGAGAGUUUUUUGAGUUUGUUGUUGAAGAAAUGCCAGAGGAGAAGAAAUUGAUAAAAGAGGGUUCGAUGACAGCCAGGAGGGGCAAGAUUUGAACUGCCCUUUCAUCAUGUCUGGCAGCUAUUGCGUGCAACAGGAAUUGCAAUGAGAAAAUCAGCAAUAACUGAAGCAGCAAGCCUUUGUUCUGCGGAAGCUCGUUUCACUUCUCGUAAAGAGCAAAACUGCCUCGGGACAGCGUCGGAGCACUGGAGAUCCCAUUUAACGUUGAUGGCAGCUCUUGUUCUUAUUUUUAAUUAAUUAUGUGUAUGGGUGUUUUGUUUGCAUGCAUAUCUGUGUACCUCAUGUGUGCCCAGAGAUGCCCAGAAGAGGGAGUCAGCAUCAAAGCCCCUGGCUAACAUGUCUCAGCAGCUCAUAUUAUUGAUGGGAAGCAUCCAGUGACCAUCAUUAGUGUUGCUUACAGCAGAUGGCUGAGAAGUUGUUCACAGGAGUGUGUACCCAUCACCAUUGACUACAACACGGGAUAAAACACCUCUUCCCAUCCCCAGCAACUUAACUGCUCGAAGAUCCUCAGGGAGAGAUGUGGCCUCGAGAGCUCCUCCCACAUCCAUGUUGAGAUGGUGAAGGGACGAAUCCUGUGCAGGAAACCACAGCUGCUGUGUACUGAAGGGUGUAAGGACCAUAGCACACCUAGAAGUCUGCAUCUGCCAUGGUGUGUGCCUUCUUUCCUCUCUUCUGCUCUUUCUUCGCCCUCAUCGGUUAAGUUCUCUGAGCCUUGGAUAUGUUUGGCAGGAUUCUUUUGGUCUCCAGAGAGAGAAGCCCAAAUUUAAACUGGUUUCAUACAAUGGAGGAACUUACAGUUCUAUUAAUAGUGUCAGAGACGGUUCCAGGUGUGACAUUAUAGGAAUGGCCCUUUCUUAGUUUUGAUUUAGAAAAACAAAGAGACUCUAUCCUGUACAACACUUGAAUUUAGUUUCAAUCCUCACCUGUGCUUGAAGGACACCAGAUUUUAAGAUUUACUCUGAAUGUUAUGAAAAGGCAGUCUUUUACCCUCAUUUAUCAGACUGACAGGGUGUUUUUAGACAAAUAUUCAGUGUUUGUAUCAGGCAACCAGUGGUCCCAGCUGAUCUAGAGUGUGUUCUGAUCACUGCACUUUGUGUGGUAGUUUCUGUUUUCAUCGGAGUUUUUCAUCUUGUGACUGCUUGCUUUUCGAUGCAGCCAUUUAUCUGAAUUACUCACUGUUGGCUAUGCAAACAGCUCAGUGUAUUCAAACACAAGCCAGUAUCGGUUGGUUUUGUGUUUUUUAAAAGACAGUUCCUCAGUCUGUAGAGGGCAGUCGGGAAGCAACUACCCUGGAAUACUGUUUUCAGCGUCACCCUGAAGUUCCUAUUUAUGUUUGGAUGCCCUGUAUGUAUGUAUGUGUACCAUGUGGGUACAAGUGUUCACAGAGGCCAGAAGAGGGCGUUGGAUCCCCCAGA
rnacentral:lncRNA from 1 species